rnacentral:rRNA from 1 species
AACGCUGGCGGCGUGCUUAACACAUGCAAGUCGAACGGAAAGGCCUCAGCUUGCUGGGGUGCUCGAGUGGCGAACGGGUGAGUAACACGUAGGUGAUCUGCCUUUCACUUCGGGAUAAGCUUGGGAAACUGGGUCUAAUACCGGAUAUUCACGGCACCGUGGUUGGUGUGGUGGAAAGCUUUUGCGGUGGGAGAUGAGCUUGCGGCCUAUCAGCUUGUUGGUGGGGUAACGGCCUACCAAGGCGGCGACGGGUAGCCGGCCUGAGAGGGUGUGCGGCCACAUUGGGACUGAGGUACGGCCCAGACUCCUACGGGAGGCAGCAGUGGGGAAUUUUGCACAAUGGGCGGAAGCCUGAUGCAGCGACGCCGUGUGGGGGAUGAAGGCCUUCGGGUUGUAAACUCCUUUCGUCAGGGACGAAGUUUGUUUGACGGUACCUGGAUAAGAAGCACCGGCUAACUACGUGCCAGCCGCCGCGGUAA